rnacentral:lncRNA from 1 species
UCUGGUAGACAUUGGUUGAUAGGUCACUUAUAAUACCCCCUCAAGAUGGAGCAUGAAGUUUCCGAAUGUCCAACUUGCCAAGAAGAAAAUGAAAUGGAUCGUUGCCCAAGGCCUUGGUGAAGAUAUCAGCCAGCUGGAUGAAACUACAAACAUCAGCCGUGCGAAUGUUGCCACUGAGUAUUUCAUUGUGAAUAAAGUGGCAGUCCACUUCGAUAUGUUUGGUGCGUUCGUGAUAGAUAGGAUUGGUUGUAAUGUGUAGAGCAACUUGACUAUCACAAUAUAAUUGUAUAGGCAUAGUAUGAGACACUCCAAUAGAGAUUAGGAGACCUUUAAACCAUUUAAGUUCACAGGCGCAGUGAUCAUGGACCUGUAUUCAGCCUCACAGAGGAGUGGGACACAGUUGGCUACUUCUUAGUCUUCUAAGAAAUGGGAGAGCCAACCAAAAGAACAAGAUAGCCAAUAAGAGACCUGCGGGUCAAAGAGUAACUAGCCCAGUCAGAGUCACAAUAAGCAGUCAAGGCAAGGUUAAAAUUGGCAAGAAUUAAGAUGCCCUGGCUGGGCUAGGCUUUGAGAUAACGGACUACUCAGAGAGCAACCUCCCAAUGAAUCUGCAGUGGUCAUUGCAUGAACUGCACAAGAAUAUGCACACAGUAGGACAAUUUGGGUUGAGUAAUGGUGAGAUAAAUAAGAUGAUCACCAAGCGCCGAUAGGAAGUAGGAGAAGCAAGGCAGCAUCCUUCGCAAAAGCCAGCUUAUGAUUUUGUUAUAGAGGAAUGGCAGUCGGUUUGAAACCCACCAAACCAACAUCAAAAAUUACAUAUAAGGCAUACUUAUGUUGACAUAGAAAAAGGCCUUUAGUAGUGUGGGUUACCUCGAGUCCUAAAAAGAAUUUCAGGGUUCCCAAGACUUUCAUGUGGAAACAGCAGCUCAAGUACUCAAGUACUCCUUGAAUUUUUGAACAGCAGAAAGAUCAUUGCCUGCGAUAAUGAGAUUAUCAACAUUAACAAGAACAAUCAAAUGAAGCGAUCCACAUGAAGAAUGAAUAAGGAGUAAUAUGAAUAGAAUUGUUGAAAUCCAUAGGCUCGUAAAAAAGCAACUAGCUUCACAAACCAACAACGAGAAACUUGGCGCAAACCGUAGAGAGACUUGCGGAGGUGACAGACUUCACUAGAGGAGGAAGAGCCAAAGCCGGAUGGCAUUUCAUGUAGACUUCUUCCUGCAAGUCACCGUGUAAAAAAGCAUUAUGGACAUCCAUUUGAUGUAAUUUCCAAUUCUUGGCAGCUGUGACUGCAAGAAGAGUACGCACAGUACCCAUUUUCGUUGUGGGUGCAAAGGUGUCCUGAUAAUCAAGCCCUUUAACUUAUUUAUUGUUCAAGAUAACCAGUCGUGCCUUGUAUUGUUCAAUACUCUCAUCAGAAUUAUACUUGAUUUUGUAUAUCCAUUUGCUGCCAAUUGUGCGCUUCCCAGGAGGUAAAGCUUGACUGUCCAUGUACCAUUGUCUGUAACGACCCGAAAAUCGGACCGCUACCGACGCUAGGAUCCGGGUCGACUUAAGGCCGCCGGGACCCGUAGCAAGCCUGACAUAAAACCUGUAAACCUGUAUAAUCCCAUACAUGAUCAACAACAUGCAUAAAAAUUAAAACUUUUCUUUCCAUAAACAUCAACCAAACUCAACCUGUGCAUAAAUAUGAACAUAACUUUGAUCCCUCUGUGGGAUCUCAUCUGUGCCCUCAAAGGGUAACAUAACCUGUGUUGAGCUGGUUUACAUAAACAUCAUCAAAACCUCUAAGAUCAUGUAUAAAAAGGGAUACAACAUUCUAUGGUCAAGCACACACUAACAUCCAUAAAACUCAUUACAUAACUAUACUGUACUUUUACAUUACAAUUUGAUCAUGUCCAUUGCUAGCUAUUACAUAGGCAUGACUUCUUUACUCUAUCCGGACUCCCGUACUAUAUCCUGUACCUGUAAGCCUGGGGGAAAAGGGAGAGGGGUGAGCUAAAAGCCCAGUGAGUAGAGCUAUUAAAACACAUCAACACUAUGCUCUAUGAAAUGCAUCAUAACACAAACAAUUCACAUAAGGGUUGGGCGAACUCGUCACCAAUUAGUCCAAGUUAACUCUGUGCCAGGCCUGUAGAAUGGGGUCCUGGUCUUUCCUGUCAGAACAUACAUUACUUACCAUUUUCCCAGGGCCUCCUCUGGCUCCUGGUCUUCAAGUCCCAUAACCGUGCCUUACUCUGUGCCAGGCCUGUAGACUGGGGCCUGGACUUGUUUACUCUGUGCCAGGCCUGUAGCAUGGGGCCUGGUCUUCCUGUCUUGAACUAACUGGGUCAUCCGACAUUCACCCACAACAACAACAAUUUAUGCAAUGCGGCAUAUUCGUGAAAACUAAUGCAAUCAUCCUAUUGCAUAAUCAUGAUGCAUGAAACAUGAUAAAGCAUUUAAUUUAAAAGAUUAAGUUAUAGUUCCACUCACCUCUGGCUGACUCUGACAAUACCGAAGCAGCUGAACUCACUGCUGGGGUCCUCGGUUCCUCGGGUCCGAACCUACACAGGUGGACUCAAAUGAGGGACCAAACAUACCUGAACAUAACUCUAAAAUAUUCCCCAAAAACCCCCUAAAACAUCCUGAAAAUAUCACAUAGAGAUAUGCAUGAAAUGGCUGAACAGGGCACUUUCGGCGGCACCUUCGGCGGCCGAAAGUCCUGGACAGAGACGAAACUCAGGUAGGUUCGGCGGCACCUUCGGCGGCCGAAAGUCCCAGACAGAGACGAAAGUCUCUUUUCGGGGGCAACUUCGGCAGCCGAAAGGCCUGCCUCCCCAGCCAUGUUCGGCGGCCGAAAGUGCCUUCGGCUGCCGAACCUGGUUUCUGCCAAAGGGCAGAAACUUGGCUCCUUUGUGCAUUUCGCCUCCAAAACUUCCAAACAUGCAUAUUUUUCAACCAAAGCAUGCAUACAAGUUCCUAGGGGCCUCAAACAUGCAUAUACCCCAUCUACAACACUUCAAUCACACACAAUCAAGCUACAUUGUUCAAAAAGUCAUCAAAAACCCAUAGGUUCAACAUAUGCCCUAACAUGCAUUCUAUCCCUUAAAACUUCAUAAAACUUGUUUAAAUCAUACAUUGAGCUUAAUAUCGGCUCUUACCUCUUGAAGAUCGAGGGUUGAGGAGAUCUAAACUUGGAGAUGGGAGAAGUUCCAACUUUUGGUCUCCAAGCUCCAAAACUCGUUCUAAGCUCAAAGAUCUUCAAAACCAAAGUUAUAAACUUGUAAAGAUCAUGGAAAAAGGAAGGAAAAACUCAAGAUUGGGGGAAGGAUGGUGGAAUGCUCACCUUGGCCGAAAUGGGGAGAAAAAGCUCGCCCAUUUUCGGCUAAGGGACCCUUUUAUAGGUGGCUGGCCAGGCCACGUUCGGGGGCCGAAUGUGCCUCCGCAUCCAUGCAAUGUUCGGCGGCCGAACUUGACUUUCGGCGGCCGAACCUGGACUUCCCCUCACUCAUGCUUUCGGGGGCCUAACGUGCCUCCAAAACACAUGCAUGUUCGGCGGCCGAACUUGACUUUCGGCGGCCGAACCUGGGUUUUCCUCCAAUGCUAUUUUCAUGCAAAAACUCAUUUUAUUUAGUACUUAAAACCAUUAAAAACAUGAAAAAAUUUCAUAAAAAUAUGAUUCUACCCUUCUAGAGGUCUCCGACAUCCGAGGUUCCACCGCACGGUAGGAAUUCCGAUACCGGAGUCUAGCCGGGUAUUACAUUGUCCUUCAAAGCUUGAAUUUUUGUGCGCAUGGCCUCUCUCCAUCGGGCAUCUUGAAAAGCUUCAAUAUAAGAGGUGGGUUCAUGUCCUGCAGUAAUCGCUCUUAAGAAACACCUAUGUUGUGUAGAGAAUUUAUCAUAACUCAUAUAAUAUGCUAUAGGGUAAGGAGUACCUGAAGAAGAAGCUAAUGGAGAGGAUGAGUAUGGCGAGGGGCUUACAUUGAUCGCGUGAGUCACAUAGUCUUUUAAAUGAAUCAAAACCAGAAGCUAUAUCACUCCUUCCGACCUCUUUAUUGCAUCCCCUUCCUGACUGCUCGGGAGCUACUUCACUCCUUCUGACCUCUUUAUUGCAUCCCCUACCUAACUGCUCGGGAGCUACAUCACUCCUUCCGACUUUCACACUUUUGGCAAAUUAACAUUUGAUCAUGGCUAUAAAUUUCUUAAGAACACAUGUCCCGUCACUUUUGUGAUUGAACAAAUAAAUCUAUAUAGCACGCAAAAUAGUCAUUAACUAUGGUCAAGAAAUAACGAGCUCCACAAGAAGCGAAAAUUGUAUAGGGUCCCCAAAAUUCACAGUGUAUUUUGUCAAAACACUAUGUUGCUUUAUUAUUACUAGAAAAGACAGCCUUUCUCAUUUGUUUUGCUCAAAAAUAAACUUUACAAGUUUUAUUAGUUUGUCUAUUCAAUCUAUUAGUUUCUGAAAUCAAGUAUGUCACCUUAAAUGACAGAUGUCCCAUUCUAUUAUGCCAAAGCUUAAAGGUUCCUCCACUACUCAGCUUGUAAGCAUGAACUGAAGCGACUCCUUUGAGAAAGUAAAGCCCCUUUCAUUGCUCACCCAUUCCAAUCAGAAUCCUCAAAUUUGGGUCAUGUAUGGCACAUUUUUUGUUAGUGAGUUGAAUAACCAAAUUUGAAUCAUUAAGAAGCUGAGAGACAUAAAUUAGAUUGCAUUUCAGAUUUAGAUCAAAAAGAACUCAUUGUAAUUUUAAAUUCCCGCCAAGCAACAUGGUUCCUUCUUUGACUACCAUUGUUUUCUCCCCAUUAGGCAAUCCAACCGAGCAUGGUACAAUGUCAUGUAAGUUGGUUAGAAAAGCCUUAGUUCCUGUCAUGGGAGGCUCCUUUGUUAAUAAUCCAAAGGAAAUUUCUUUAGUUACCUAUUAACCUCUCAUUAGUAUUCUGAUGAGAGUUUAACAUACUUAACAGAGCAGCCCAUUGCUCAUCAUUUAGUCCAUUUAACCCCUUUCAAUAUGCAUCUGUCAUUGCUUUUUGUCUAGUAUCAACUGCAGCUGCUUGUGCUGUAUGUGCACGCACAACACCUCCUUUGUUACGUCCUCCUCCAGUCCCACACUUUUGAGUACUACCACACACACCUAAGUUGCCACGAGGCCAAGCACCCCACCAUUCUGGAUAGUCUAUUAACUAAAAAUAACUUUUAGUGUCAUAACCCUUUCAAUUGCAAUGAGAGAAAAUAGAAGUUUUAUAUUUAUCCCCUCCUGGAUUCCAAACAUUAGCCUGAAUUACAAAACUCAUAGGGUUGUCCUGUUCAUUUUUGCUUCUCGUCACGGUUCUCACUCGCUCUUGCUGAACCACCAUAGCAUAAGUAUGAUUCAAAUUAGGCAAAGGGUCAGUGCUCAAGACAUAGGAUUGUACAAUACCAUAACCUUCUUCUUUCAAGUCCAUCAGAAACUAAUGAACUCUUUCUUCUUUACGCUUUCGUUCCAUUUCAAUGGUAAGAUUUCAUUUGAAGCCUGCACAUGCUCACUUCGGUAUCUAAUCAUAGUUAUUAAUCUCAUCCCAUAAGGUUUUGAGUUUACCGAAAUAAAAAACAAUAGAUUGACCAUCCUGCCUAUAGUUUGCUAGGUCAGAUCUCAACUGCUGCAUUUGUGGUCCAUUUCUAAUUGGGAACCUCUACUUAAUAUCUUUCCACAGAUUCUUCACCUUUUCGGUAGUAGAGAUAGUCGAUGGAAGUGUUGGUUUAAUAGUAUUGAAUACCCAAGAAACCAACAUAGAGUUAAUUGUCCACCAAUCUUCGAGUUCCGGUGCAUGUCCUUUGGUUGUUUGACGGAUCCAUUGAUAAAACCGUAUUUCUUUUUGGCUCUUAGCGCAGUCUGCAUGGCCCUUGCCCAUUCUUUGUAAUUUUCUCUUUUAACUUCACUUGGGUAAUCAAAUUUUCUGGGUUGUCAUUGAAAUUUAGUGUAUAAGGAUUAAAAGAGUUUUUCACUGUUCUUGAAUUCUUCCCGUGUUCCUUUUCAAUCUCCAUGGCUCUGAUACCAUGUGAAAACGGAGACUCACACAAUUUGGGAAUGCAAGUUCCUGCCCCCUUUUAUUGACCAUAAUAUGACAAUAUAUACACUAGGUUUACCCUUGUUUAGAAAAAUCCAAGAAUGUAAAAUUCAUAUACAAUACAAGCCAAAUUUCCUAUACUGUACAAACUAAGCUUCCUAUACUGCACAAGACAACGAAGGAAAGAUAAGAUAUUUGCAUACAAAUCAAGCCUAAAACCGAGAUGGGUCGAUAGGUCGUCAAGAUAUCGGACAAGUCGAUACAGGUCAACAGGUCGUCAAGACUUCGGACAGGUCAGUGCAGGUCAUUAAGAGGUUGGAAUCUCGGGACGUCUGGUCGACAGGUCGCUUCCAAUAUGAUGAAAUUAAAUUUUGAAUUGUAGGAGAGGAUUGUCAUUUAUAGAGAAAAUUAAGAUUUUUAAAGAAAACGAAGAUCUAAUUGAGAAUGAAAAUGACGUUUAGAGAGGAAUCGAUUGCUUGAUAAUCAUGGUUUCAGAGAGAAAGAGGAUUGCCAUGGGAAGUGGAAAUGGAGAUUGAUUAAGAAUGGAGUUACGUUAUACAUGAGGAGAAAUGUGAAUAGGUGAUUAGCAAAGACGACUAAUAGUAGGGUAUAAUAAAAAUAGACAUUUUGAGUUAAUUGUUCAUUAAUAG